UUGCAGUUAUUAGAGCGGUUACACACCACGGUUGGGUGGGGCUUGUUUUGGUUCAUCGCUGUUCACUUCAACCUGCCUGUGGUCUGGCGAUCUUACCCGACGACAUGGAAAACGUUCAACUAAAUUUCACAGUGGGGUCAUGAGAUUCAAUGCUUCUUUGUACUUACAGCGUUGUCCGAUCAUCUCAAGGAGCUUGCCGGGAUGCUGCCUUCUGUUCCUUACUUACUUCCUGAAACUACUCAUCUGUUGUCCCUCCAUGUGAAGGAGAUCUUCAGAGAUCUUCAGUCAGUGACCUGGAAGCUAGCAGCUAUUCUUCUUGCUGUAUCAGCUAUUCUUCCUUCAUUAUUUCCUGAGUGAACUGGGUAUGGGUGGAUGGGCCGGCAGGAACGCAUGCUGCAUAGAGCUGUGCACAAUCAACAUGGCAAGAAAACUAAGCAAACAAACAUGUUUAACUUUUUCUUUUAGGUUAAAUUUGUUCUGUUUUAUUAUUUGUUGAAUUUUUCAUUGUACAGUUUGUACGGUUCCUAUUUAAUUUGAUAAUAAGAAAACCAUCUUGCACCAAUUGUUUCAGAUAAUCAACGCACUGCUGUAAACAGUCCUUUUACCUCUAAUCAUAAAGA